rnacentral:rRNA from 1 species
UUCCGGUUGAUCCUGCCGGACCUGACUGCUAUCGGAUUGAUACUAAGCCAUGCGAGUCUUUGCAGUAAUGCAAGGCAUACGGCUCAGUAACACGUAGUCAACUUACCCUAUGGACGAGGAUAAUCUCGGGAAACUGAGCAUAAUACUCGAUAGAUCAUAAUGCCUGGAAUGGUUUAUGGUUGAAAUGAUUCGUCGCCAUAGGAUGGGACUGCGGCCUAUCAGCUUGUUGGUGAGGUAAUGGCCCACCAAGGCGAUUACAGGUACGGGCUCUGAGAGGAGAAGCCCGGAGAUGGGUACUGAGACAAGGACCCAGGCCCUAUGGGGCGCAGCAGGCGAGAAAACUUUGCAAUGUGCGAAAGCACGACAAGGUUAAUCCGAGUGAUUUCUGCUAAAGAAAUCUUUUGCAAGUCAUAAAACCACUAGUGAAUAAGGGGUGGGCAAGUUCUGGUGUCAGCCGCCGCGGUAAAACCAGCACCUCAAGUGGUCAGGAGGAUUAUUGGGCCUAAAGCAUCCGUAGCCGGCUCUGUAAGUUUUCGGUUAAAUCCAUGUGCUCAACAUAUGGGCUGCCGAAAAUACUGCAUAGCUAGGGAGUGGGAGAGGUAGACGGUACUCGGUAGGAAGGGGUAAAAUCCUUUGAUCUAUCGAUGACCACCUGUGGCGAAGGCGGUCUACCAGAACACGUUCGACGGUGAGGGAUGAAAGCUGGGGGAGCAAACCGGAUUAGAUACCCGGGUAGUCCCAGCUGUAAACGAUGCAGACUCGAUGAUGCAUUGGCAUAUAGCCAGUGCAGUGUCGCAGGGAAGCCGUUAAGUCUGCCGCCUGGGAAGUACGUACGCAAGUAUGAAACUUAAAGGAAUUGGCGGGGGAGCACCACAAGGGGUGAAGCCUGCGGUUCAAUUGGAUUCAACGCCGG